GUACGCGUAGCGAAAGCGAGUCUUAAAAGGCGUGUGAGUCGCGUGUCCUGGACCCGAAGCGGGAUGAUCUAGCCCUGGGCAGGUUGAAGCGCGGGUAAGACCGUGUGGAGGACCGAACCCACCUGGGUUGAAAACCGGGGGGAUGACCUGGGGCUAGGGGUGAAAGGCCAAUCAAAUUCCGUGAUAGCUGGUUCUCUCCGAAAUGCAUUUAGGUGCAGCGUCGGUUGAUUGCGUCCGGGGGGUAGAGCUACUGGAUGCUUGCGGGCCCGUAUUGGGUACCAACAGCAGCCAAACUCCGAAUACCCGUGGCGUGUAUGCUGGCAGUGAGUCGGCGGGGGAUAAGCUCCGUCGUCAAAAGGGAAACAGCCCAGAUCGUCGUCUAAGGUCCCUAAGCGCGUGCUAAGUGGGAAAGGAUGUGGAGUCGCAUAGACAGCCAGGAGGUUGGCUCAGAAGCAGCCAUCCUUGAAAGAGUGCGUAACAGCUCACUGGUCUAGUGGUUCCGCGCCGACAAUGUAGCGGGGCUCAAGCACGCCACCGAAGACGCGGCAACAACGUUUGUUGUUGGGUAGGAGAGCGUCCUGCACGGGGUGAAGCCGUGGCGUAAGCCUAUGGUGGACUGUGUGGGAGUGAGAAUGCAGACAUGAGUAGCGAGAGCGGGGUGUGAAUCCCCGCCGCUGGAUGACCAAGGGUUCCGGGGCCACGUUCGUCGUCCCCGGGUGAGUCGGGUCCUAAGGCGAGGCCGACAGGCGUAGUCGAAUGGAUGAACGGGUUGAUAUUCCCGUACCGGUAGUAGACCGAUCAGACUGAAUCCAUGAGUACUAACCUCCGGAUGAUCUUGAUCCUGCCUUCGGGUUGGUGAUGGGUUGUUUGUUGGGACUGUAGUGGUAGUAGGUGAGCACAGGAGCGACGCGGAAGGGUAGCCGACUGCGGAGGUGGUUUUCCGUGGUUAAGCGUGUGGCCCGCAUCCUAGGUAAAUCCGGGGUGCAUGAGGGUGAGGCGUGAUGAUGGGAGUCUUUUGGCUUGAAUUCGGUGAUCCCAUGCCGUCUAGAAAAACUUCGGUGUGAGGGCUGUUGCCGCCCGUACCCUAAACCGACACUGGUGGUCAGGUAGAGAAUACCAAAGCGAUCGAGUGAAUCCUGGUCAAGGAACUCGGCAAAUUACUCCCGUGCCUUCGGUAUAAGGGAGACCCUUGAAUGUGAAGCGUGUACGCGUGGAGCGUUUGGGGGUGGCACAGGCCAGGGGGUAGCGACUGUUUACCAAAAACACAGGAGCGUGCGAAGGCGUAAGCCGCUGUAUACGCUCUGACGCCUGCCCGGUGCCGGAAGGUUAAGAGGAUCCGUCAGCCCUUUGGGUGAAGCGGUGAAUUUAAGCCCCGGUAAACGGCGGUGGUAACUAUAACCAUCCUAAGGUAGCGAAAUUCCUUGUCGGGUAAGUUCCGACCUGCACGAAUGGCGUAACGACUUCCCCACUGUCUCGACCAGGAGCUCGGCGAAAUUGCAGUACGAGUAAAGAUGCUCGUUAAGCGCAGAAGGACGAAAAGACCCCGGGACCUUUACUAUACCUUGGUAUUGGCGUUAGGCGCGGAUUGUGUAGCAUAGGCGGGAGACUGUGAAGCGUGGGCGCCAGCUCAUGUGGAGUCGUAAGGUGAAAUACCGCUCUGUUCUCGUUUGACGUCUAACCACGACAUGUUAUCCAUGUUUGGGACAGUGCCUGGCGGGUAGUUUAACUGGGGCGGUUGCCUCCUAAAGAGUAACGGAGGCGCUCAAAGGUCCGCUCAGCCCGGUUGGCAAUCGGGUGUCGAGUGUAAUCGCACAAGCGGGCUUGACUGUGAGAACGACGGUUCGAGCAGGGACGAAAGUCGGAGAUAGUGAUCCGGUGCCGGCGCACGGGCGCGGCAUCGCUCAACGGAUAAAAGGUACCCCGGGGAUAACAGGCUGAUCAUUCCCAAGAGUCCAUAUCGACGGGAUGGUUUGGCACCUCGAUGUCGGCUCGUCGCAUCCUGGGGCUGGAGCAGGUCCCAAGGGUUCGGCUGUUCGCCGAUCAAAGCGGCACGCGAGCUGGGUUCAGAACGUCGUGAGACAGUUUGGUCUCUAUCCUCUGCGCUCGUUGGAAUCUUGAGGAGGCCUGCCCAUAGUACGAGAGGACCUGGGUGGACGAACCUCUGGUAUGCCAGUUAUCCCGCCAGGGGUAUGGCUGGUUAGCUACGUUCGGAAGGGAUAACCGCUGAAAGCAUCUAAGCGGGAAGCCCGCUCCAAGAUAAGGAUUCCGUAAGGCCUUGAGCCUUUGUACCCUCCAUGAAGAACACGUGGUUGAUAGGCCGGACGUGGAAGCCGUGCAAGCGGUGGAGCUGACCGGUACUAACAGGGAACAGCAACCAACU
rnacentral:rRNA from 1 species